rnacentral:rRNA from 1 species
GAGACAGCAGCCGCCGCGGGAAUACGUAGGUGGCAAGCGUUGUCCGGAAUUAUUGGGCGUAAAGCGCGCGCAGGUGGUUUAAUAAGUCUGAUGUGAAAGCCCACGGCUCAACCGUGGAGGGUCAUUGGAAACUGUUAAACUUGAGUGCAGGAGAGAAAAGUGGAAUUCCUAGUGUAGCGGUGAAAUGCGUAGAGAUUAGGAGGAACACCAGUGGCGAAGGCGGCUUUUUGGCCUGUAACUGACACUGAGGCGCGAAAGCGUGGGGAGCAAACAGGAUUAGAUACCCCCGUAGUCCCUGUCUCUUAUAC